AGAGUUUGAUCAUGGCUCAGGAUGAACGCUAGCUACAGGCUUAACACAUGCAAGUCGAGGGGCAGCUAUGAACUUAGCUUGCUAAGUUUGAUGGCGACCGGCGCACGGGUGAGUAACACGUAUCCAACCUGCCGAUGACCCGGGGGAUAGCCUUUCGAAAGAAAGAUUAAUACCCGAUGGCAUAGUUCUUCCGCAUGGUAGAACUAUUAAAGAAUUUCGGUCAUCGAUGGGGAUGCGUUCCAUUAGGUUGUUGGCGGGGUAACGGCCCACCAAGCCUUCGAUGGAUAGGGGUUCUGAGAGGAAGGUCCCCCACAUUGGAACUGAGACACGGUCCAAACUCCUACGGGAGGCAGCA
rnacentral:rRNA from 1 species